GGGUUGUGAGGUUAAGCGACUAAGCGUACACGGUGGAUGCCCUGGCAGUCAGAGGCGAUGAAGGACGUGCUAAUCUGCGAUAAGCGUCGGUAAGGUGAUAUGAACCGUUAUAACCGGCGAUUUCCGAAUGGGGAAACCCAGUGUGUUUCGACACACUAUCAUUAACUGAAUCCAUAGGUUAAUGAGGCGAACCGGGGGAACUGAAACAUCUAAGUACCCCGAGGAAAAGAAAUCAACCGAGAUUCCCCCAGUAGCGGCGAGCGAACGGGGAGCAGCCCAGAGCCUGAAUCAGUGUGUGUGUUAGUGGAAGCGUCUGGAAAGGCGCGCGAUACAGGGUGACAGCCCCGUACACAAAAAUGCACAUAUUGUGAGCUCGAUGAGUAGGGCGGGACACGUGGUAUCCUGUCUGAAUAUGGGGGGACCAUCCUCCAAGGCUAAAUACUCCUGACUGACCGAUAGUGAACCAGUACCGUGAGGGAAAGGCGAAAAGAACCCCGGCGAGGGGAGUGAAAAAGAACCUGAAACCGUGUACGUACAAGCAGUGGGAGCACGCUUAGGCGUGUGACUGCGUACCUUUUGUAUAAUGGGUCAGCGACUUAUAUUCUGUAGCAAGGUUAACCGAAUAGGGGAGCCGAAGGGAAACCGAGUCUUAACUGGGCGUUAAGUUGCAGGGUAUAGACCCGAAACCCGGUGAUCUAGCCAUGGGCAGGUUGAAGGUUGGGUAACACUAACUGGAGGACCGAACCGACUAAUGUUGAAAAAUUAGCGGAUGACUUGUGGCUGGGGGUGAAAGGCCAAUCAAACCGGGAGAUAGCUGGUUCUCCCCGAAAGCUAUUUAGGUAGCGCCUCGUGAAUUCAUCUCCGGGGGUAGAGCACUGUUUCGGCAAGGGGGUCAUCCCGACUUACCAACCCGAUGCAAACUGCGAAUACCGGAGAAUGUUAUCACGGGAGACACACGGCGGGUGCUAACGUCCGUCGUGAAGAGGGAAACAACCCAGACCGCCAGCUAAGGUCCCAAAGUCAUGGUUAAGUGGGAAACGAUGUGGGAAGGCCCAGACAGCCAGGAUGUUGGCUUAGAAGCAGCCAUCAUUUAAAGAAAGCGUAAUAGCUCACUGGUCGAGUCGGCCUGCGCGGAAGAUGUAACGGGGCUAAACCAUGCACCGAAGCUGCGGCAGCGACGCUUAUGCGUUGUUGGGUAGGGGAGCGUUCUGUAAGCCUGUGAAGGUGUGCUGUGAGGCAUGCUGGAGGUAUCAGAAGUGCGAAUGCUGACAUAAGUAACGAUAAAGCGGGUGAAAAGCCCGCUCGCCGGAAGACCAAGGGUUCCUGUCCAACGUUAAUCGGGGCAGGGUGAGUCGACCCCUAAGGCGAGGCCGAAAGGCGUAGUCGAUGGGAAACAGGUUAAUAUUCCUGUACUUGGUGUUACUGCGAAGGGGGGACGGAGAAGGCUAUGUUGGCCGGGCGACGGUUGUCCCGGUUUAAGCGUGUAGGCUGGUUUUCCAGGCAAAUCCGGAAAAUCAAGGCUGAGGCGUGAUGACGAGGCACUACGGUGCUGAAGCAACAAAUGCCCUGCUUCCAGGAAAAGCCUCUAAGCAUCAGGUAACAUCAAAUCGUACCCCAAACCGACACAGGUGGUCAGGUAGAGAAUACCAAGGCGCUUGAGAGAACUCGGGUGAAGGAACUAGGCAAAAUGGUGCCGUAACUUCGGGAGAAGG
rnacentral:rRNA from 1 species